AGGCCCAAAAGUGACACAAGAUGGCGCCCAGAACCACAGGCAGAGCCAACCUGAGCAACACCCUGACUCCCAGGUGGUGACGUCCAACCUGAUCUAAAAGUGAAUAAAGCUCCUGUGUGGCUGACAGACCUUCCACUCAAGCAUGGCUAUAUUGCAUUUUCUGAUAUUGAGCCCAUGCUAGAGGUCUGUACCAGAAAUCAGCACAGAUCCAGAGAAUGACUCAAACAUUCAAACAGAGAUAUUAACAGCAGUUGAUGGUUACUCUCAAAGAGAAAACUUCAAUAAUUUAUCAGUAAGUAUUUGCAUUUCAUUUAACAAAAGCACAUUAAGCAGUAUUUGCAAAUGUUUAAAGCAAAAGUCAUUUUAUGUUUUUUCCUUACUGUGCAGAAUUUUUAAGCUGCUGCUCUGUGAUAUAUAAAAUGAAAUUUCAGUAAUGCCUACUGUCAUACAUUCUGUCAUAUAAUUCCGAGUGAA